GGGGAAGUAUUGCAUCAAUGGCAGGCAAGCCAUGCAUGCAGCCAUGCCGCGUGUAUGAAGAAGGCCUUCGGGUUGUAAAGUACUUUCAGCGAGGAGGAAGGCAUUAAGGUUAAUAACCUUGGUGAUUGACGUUACUCGCAGAAGAAGCACCGGCUAACUCCGUGCCAGCAGCCGCGGUAAUACGGAGGGUGCAAGCGUUAAUCGGAAUUACUGGGCGUAAAGCGCACGCAGGCGGUUUGUUAAGUCAGAUGUGAAAUCCCCGGGCUCAACCUGGAACUGCAUUUGAACUGGCAAGCUUGAGUCUUGUAGAGGGGGUAGAAUUCCA
rnacentral:rRNA from 1 species